GACGAACCGUGCGAACGUUGUUCGGAAUCACUGGGCUUAAAGGGCGCGUAGGCGGGCCACCAAGUCAGGGGUGAAAUCUUUCGGCUCAACCGGAAAAGUGCCUUUGAUACUGGUGGCCUCGAGGGAGGUAGGGGUCUGCGGAACUUCCGGUGGAGCGGUGAAAUGCGUAGAUAUCGGAAGGAACGCCGGUGGCGAAAGCGGCGGACUGGACCUCUUCUGACGGCUGAGGCGCGGAAAGCCAGGGGAGCAAACGGG
rnacentral:rRNA from 1 species